UACUUGCAGCAUCAGUUUGAAGCCGUGCGUGUUGAGUCUCUUACAGUAGCUGUUGUAUGCAUGUACCCAUACGGAUUAUGCAUGCACCAGAUCUUUUUCACAAUUCCCUUGCUGUGCCUGGCACUAGUUCAGCACCCCUUUCUGCUCCAGCCCUGGUGACCUCCACGCUGAUUUAGAAAAGCGCCUGAUUCCAGAUCUCAACACAUCCUUCUGUUCCAGACCUGAAUCUAUUCUUAGCAGAUACUGCCGGGGAGCAGCGAUUUUGUAAUGUGAGCAAACAUGCACUCUGGACUAUGUGGAGAUGCCAAACUAAUGUGGGGUUUUCUGAUCUGAGGUUUUUGUUUGGGCUGGCCUAGAUACAGGAAUCAACCACAAAUCUUGGGCUGGGAACCAGGUUCAGAUUGAAUUUUCCAAACUACAGUUUUCUUCAGAUAGCAAAAGGUCCAUACCAUGGUUUUGUAAGUCACAACAGAUGAGUUAGAGUACGCUCAUAAUGAGCCCAUUUAAAAUUUCAGACUCAAGAACAAAUGCAUAUCCACAUUAAAGAAUUAAUGUGAAGAAACGAUUUUAUUUCCUCUUAGCAUCCCCGCAUGUAUGGUGAAAAAAAUUUCCUCCCCAUCACUCAUCCUAAGGAGCAUAUUUGCCUAAAGCAGUUGUGAAUGAAAGUGGUGUAAUGAAAUCACCCUCAAUAGCCAGGCUGGGAAUUCAUCAAAAGAUCCAGUGAUCUUCUUAAAAACGUAUCAUUGCCUGUUGAACUGUGGAGCCUAAUGGAAGUAAAAUUGGUCGACAAAGUCAGUUUUAUUUUCCCAGAGUUAUGGACUUCAGUGUAUUUCCAAUACCCUGGUAAACGAAGCUCUGAACCUGUCUCUUGUUCAAUUCAAAGCAUUUAAUAACUGCAUAAAAAAAACUAGGCUGUUGAAAUUUAUAUCCAUAAGUUGUCAUCUCUGCCUUAUUUUCAGUUUUCCUGUGAAGUUAUUAAAACAUUGUGAUUAUACUGUA